rnacentral:rRNA from 1 species
GAUGAACGCUGGCGGCGUGCCUAAUACAUGCAAGUCGAGCGAACAGAUAAGGAGCUUGCUCCUUUGAAGUUAGCGGUGGACGGGUGAGUAACACGUGGGUAACCUACCUAUAAGACUGGGAUAACUUCGGGAAACCGGAGCUAAUACCGGAUAACAUUUAGAACCGCAUGGUUCUAAAGUGAAAGAUGGUUUUGCUAUCACUUAUAGAUGGACCCGCGCCGUAUUAGCUAGUUGGUAAGGUAACGGCUUACCAAGGCGACGAUACGUAGCCGACCUGAGAGGGUGAUCGGCCACAAUGGAACUGAGACACGGUCCAGACUCCUACGGGAGGCAGCAGUAGGGAAUCUUCCGCAAUGGGCGAAAGCCUGACGGAGCAACGCCGCGUGAGUGAUGAAGGGGUUCGGAUCGUAAAACUCUGUUAUUAGGGAAGAACAAAUGUGUAAGUAACUGUGCACAUCUUGACGGUACCUAAUCAGAAAGCCACGGCUAACUACGUG